rnacentral:rRNA from 1 species
UACGUAGGGUGCAGGCGUUAAUCGGAAUUACUGGGCGUAAAGCGUGCGCAGGCGGUCUGCUAAGAGAGAUGUGAAAUCCCCGGGCUUAACCUGGGAACUGCGUUUCUAACUGGCAGGCUUGAGUGUGGCAGAGGGGGGUGGAAUUCCACGUGUAGCAGUGAAAUGCGUAGAGAUGUGGAGGAACACCGAUGGCGAAGGCAGCCCCCUGGGCUAACACGUGACGCUCAUGCACGAAAGCGUGGGGAGCGAAACAGG